UACGUAGGGUGCGAGCGUUGUCCGGAAUUAUUGGGCGUAAAGGGCUCGUAGGCGGUUUGUCGCGUCGGGAGUGAAAACCAGGUGCUUAACACCUGGCUUGCUUUCGAUACGGGCAGACUAGAGGUAUUCAGGGGAGAACGGAAUUCCUGGUGUAGCGGUGAAAUGCGUAGAUAUCAGGAGGAACACCGAUGGCGAAGGCAGCUUCCUGGCCCAAUUCUGACGCUGAGGUGCGAAAGCGUGGGUAGCGAACGGG
rnacentral:rRNA from 1 species